rnacentral:rRNA from 1 species
AUUGAACGCUGGCGGCAUGCCUUACACAUGCAAGUCGAACGGCAGCGGACCUUCGGGUGCCGGCGAGUGGCGAACGGGUGAGUAAUAUAUCGGAACGUACCUUUCAGUGGGGGAUAACGUAGCGAAAGUUACGCUAAUACCGCAUAUUCUGUGAGCAGGAAAGCAGGGGAUCGCAAGACCUUGCGCUGAUUGAGCGGCCGAUAUCAGAUUAGCUAGUUGGUGAGGUAAAGGCUCACCAAGGCGACGAUCUGCAGCGGGUCUGAGAGGAUGAUCCGCCACACUGGAACUGAGACACGGUCCAGACUCCUACGGGAGGCAGCAGUGGGGAAUUUUGGGACAAUGGGCGCAAGCCUGAUCCAGCCAUGCCGCGUGAGUGAAGAAGG